rnacentral:rRNA from 1 species
AUACGGAGGAUCCGAGCGUUAUCCGGAUUUAUUGGGUUUAAAGGGUGCGCAGGCGGCCAUUUAAGUCAGCGGUUAAAUCGUGGGGCUCAACCCCAUUCUGCCGUUGAUACUGGGUGGCUUGAUUGCGGUCGAGGUUGGCGGAAUUCGUUGUGUAGCGGUGAAAUGCAUAGGUAUGACGAAGAACACCGACUGCGGAGGCAGCUGACCAGAUCGCAAAUGACGCUCAUGCACGAAAGUACGGGGAUCGAACAGGAUUAGAUACCCUGGUAGUCCGCACAGUAAACGAUGAAUACUUGUUUUCGGCGAUAUAAUGUCGGAGGCAAAGCGAAAGCGAUAAGUAUUCCACCUGGGGAGUACGCCGGCAACGGUGAAACUCAAAUGAAUUGACGGGG